CCUACGGGCGGCAGCAGUGGGGAAUAUUGCACAAUGGGGGAAACCCUGAUGCAGCGACGCCGCGUGAGUGAGGAAGUAUUUCGGUAUGUAAAGCUCUAUCAGCAGGGAAGAAAAUGACGGUACCUGACUAAGAAGCCCCGGCUAACUACGUGCCAGCAGCCGCGGUAAUACGUAGGGGGCAAGCGUUAUCCGGAUUUACUGGGUGUAAAGGGAGCGUAGACGGCAAAGCAAGUCAGAAGUGAAAACCCAGGGCUCAACCUUGGGACUGCUUUUGAAACUGAGUGGCUAGAGUGCUGGAGAGGUAAGCGGAAUUCCUAGUGUAGCGGUGAAAUGCGUAGAUAUUAGGAGGAACACCAGUGGCGAAGGCGGCUUACUGGACAGUAACUGACGUUGAGGCUCGAAAGCGUGGGGAGCAAACAGGAUUAGAUACCCGAGUAGUC
rnacentral:rRNA from 1 species